rnacentral:rRNA from 1 species
CCAAAGAUAACUCUCAACAACGGAUAUCUUGGUUCUCGCAACGAUGAAGAACGCAGCGAAAUGCGAUACGUAGUGUGAAUUGCAGACCCCCCGUGAACCAUCGAAUCUUUGAACGCAUAUUGCGCUAGAGCCUCCGGGCAAGAGCAUGUCUGCCUCAGCGUCGGUUUACACCCUCACCCCUCCCACUUUGUUGGGUUGCUUGGCAACUUUGCCAGCAUAGGUGGUGGAUCUGGCUUCCCCAAUCUGCCGUCUGGUAGAUUGGGUUGGCUGAAGAGUAGAGGUUUAAGCAAGGACCCGUUAUGGGCUUCAACUGGAUAGGUAGCACCGGCUUGUGCCGACUACACGAAGUUGAUGCUCGUGGAUCUUGCUAGAGGCCAAGCAGGAACGUGCCCAUGGCACGUCUAAACUUUCGACCUGAGCUCAGGCAAGGCUACCCGCUGAACUUAAGCAUAUCAAUAAGCGGAGGAA